UCACUUUGGCAGUGAAUGUACUCGAAUUGGAAUGGUGCAGACGUUAGCAUUGCCCCUGCACAAAAAUGGCAUGCGAAAAGAUCCUGGGUUUCUUUAACUACUUUUU
rnacentral:snRNA from 1 species